CGCCGCCGCCAUUUUCCCGGAAGUAGAAAGAAUCGUUGACAUCAAUCCGUAAACAUUGAGUAGUUAGAGAGCCACCCACAGUUCUCAGCUUCCGGGUUCGCUUUGGAUAUUCCGUAUUCUUGUUCCAUCAAGGGCUGUCGUCGGGAAAAACAGCCACAACGGAGGCACACAAUAAAGGCAGGUUCUUCCUUUCUGGCAUAGGUCUUCGUUGCUGCAGUACUCACGUUGGGAAACAUCCAACCUGGCAGAGAGGAAGGAUGAAGCACAGAUCUGUCUAGAAUCACUGCACAACCAUAAAGGAGCCAGAAGUGGCCCUCCCUGAAUUCCUUGGAGCCUUAUCUAAUUGUUCCCGAGGAAGAGCUGCCAGACGAGAGAUUCCUGUAUUAUAGGCAAAACAUAAUAAAGUAAUUAGUUCAAACUCCA